rnacentral:rRNA from 1 species
AUAGCGUAUAUUAAAGUUGUUGCAGUUAAAAAGCUCGUAGUUGAACUUCGAACGUGGCUGGGCGGUCCGCCUCACGGUGUGUACUGUCUGGCUGUGUUCUCUUUCUUGGUGAGCCGGCAUGCCCUUAAUUGGGUGUGUUGGGGAACCAGGACUUUUACCUUGAGAAAAUUAGAGUGUUCAAAGCAGGCCUAUGCCCGAAUACAUUAGCAUGGAAUAAUAAAAUAGGACGUGCGGUUCUAUUUUGUUGGUUUCUAGAGUCGCCGUAAUGAUUAAUAGGGAUAGUUGGGGGCAUUAGUAUUCGGUUGCUAGAGGUGAAAUUCUUGGAUUUAC